rnacentral:tRNA from 1 species
GUAGCUCAGCUUGGUAGAGCACCUGGUUUGGGACCAGGGGGUCGCAUGUUCAAAUCGUGUCA